GAUGAACGCUGGCGGCGUGCCUAAUACAUGCAAGUCGAGCGAACGGACGAGAAGCUUGCUUCUCUGAUGUUAGCGGCGGACGGGUGAGUAACACGUGGAUAACCUACCUAUAAGACUGGGAUAACUUCGGGAAACCGGAGCUAAUACCGGAUGAUAUUUUGAACCGCAUGGUUCAAAAGUGAAAGACGGUCUUGCUGUCACUUAUAGAUGGAUCCGCGCUGCAUUAGCUAGUUGGUAAGGUAACGGCUUACCAAGGCAACGAUGCAUAGCCGACCUGAGAGGAUGAUCGGCCACACUGGAACUGAGACACGGUCCAGACUCCUACGGGAGGCAGCAGUAGGGAAUAUUCCGCAAUGGGCGAAAGCCUGACGGAGCAACGCCGCGUGAGUGAUGAAGGUCUUCGGAUCGUAAAACUCUGUUAUUAGGGAAGAACAGAUGUGUAAGUAACUGUGCACAUCUUGACGGUACCUAAUCAGAAAGCAACGGCUAACUACGUG
rnacentral:rRNA from 1 species